rnacentral:misc_RNA from 1 species
GCAAGCCCCGCCCACCGGUCUUUAUUUGUCUGCUUCGACUCAUCGAGAUCAGCAGCCAUGACUCUGAAGUUACCGGUGGAGAGCCUCCCAUGGAUCAGACCGGGGCUCAACUUCUUCAGGGAUGCCCCGAAGAACGCUGAACUCGGUGUCGAGGAACCGGAACUCGAUCCAUGUAAACCCAAAGGCACUGUGUUGACAGCUCCGACGGGGGAGAUGGCGGUGGCCAUUGGGUUGAACGGA